UGGGAUCCUUGAAUUUUGACCAGGGU
rnacentral:piRNA from 1 species